GACGAACGCUGGCGGCGUGCUUAACACAUGCAAGUCGAACGGAAAGGCCCUGCUUUUGUUGGGGUGCUCGAGUGGCGAACGGGUGAGUAACACGUGAGUAACCUGCCCUUGACUUUGGGAUAACUUCAGGAAACUGGGGCGUAAUACCGGAUAGGAGCUCCUGCUGCAUGGUGGGGGGUUGGAAAGUUUUCGGCGGUUGGGGGAUGGACUCGCGGCUUAUCAGCUUGUUGGUGGGGUAGUGGCUUACCAAGGCUUUUGACGGGUAGCCGGCCUGAGAGGGUGACCGGCCACAUUGGGACUGAGAUACGGCCCAGACUCCUACGGGAGGCAGCAGUGGGGAAUAUUGCACAAUGGGCGGAAGCCUGAUGCAGCAACGCCGCGUGCGGGAUGACGGCCUCGGUUGU
rnacentral:rRNA from 1 species